UUUUUCAGUAGUUUAAGACAUGCAAAUCGUUGUUUCCAAAGUCCUUAUAAAUUAAUAUUUUUAAUAUUAAUGGGAUCAGGGGAUAAGGUGUAGAGGUGAGUAUGUUAAAUAAGAUACCCUGUAGUCUUCUUAGCUAGGAGAUAUAAAGUAAAGGAAAAUUUCUGCUAUAGGAUUCUAUUUAAUUUGAUUAGGUAGUUGAUAGGGUAACGGCCUACCAAGCCAACGAUCAAAAGUCAAGUUUGAAAGAACCUCUGGCCACAUUGGGGAUGAAAUCUCCCAAGUAGUAAUUACACUACCAGCAGUCGAGAAUAUUAGUCAAUGCUCGUAAGAGUGAACUAGCUAACUGAAAUCAUAGAAUUUCUUCAAAUUCAUGAUGUCGUAAGGGAAAAUAAUGAUAAUACCUUACUAUGAGUGUCGUCCAAAUCUGGUGCCAGAAGACUCGGUAAGACCAGAGACGCAAACGUUAAUCAUCAUAAACAGGCGUAAAGGGUUUGUAGGCAGCUUUUAUAAGAUAAUAAAAAAUCUAAAUUGAAAGCUAGAAUCAAAAAGAGGUUAUAGUGUAUAACGCCUAGAGGAGGGCUGAUAUCCAUAGAUCCUAGGCAGAAUACUCAGGGCGAAGGCCACUCUCCACUAAUGAUUGACGCUGAGAAACGAAGGUUAGGGUAGGAAAUAGGAU
rnacentral:rRNA from 1 species